rnacentral:rRNA from 1 species
UAAAUGUAAAUUAAACUUAAAAUAAAAUAUGAAAAAAAAUUUUAAUAUAAUAUAUUUAAUGGGGGUUAAAGUAUUUUUUUAGAAAAAAUUUUUUUAAUUUAUAGAGAAUUAGUAUUGUGAAAGAAUUUUGAAAAAUAUGAAAAUUAAUUAAUUAAUAAGUAAAUUUAUUUUAUUGUAUCUUGUGUAUCAGAGUUUAUUAAUUAAUAUUUAUAUUUAUAAAUAUCUCGAAUUUAAAAGAGAUAAUUAAUUAAUAAAGUUAAUGUUGCAUAAUUAUUUUAAAUAAUUAAUUUGAAAUGAGAUGUUAAUCGUUUUUAAAUAUAUCUAGUUUUUUUAGAAAAAAAUUUAAUUUUAAAUUAAUUUUUAUAAUUUAUUAAUUUUUUAAUAAAUUAAUAAAUUUAAUUUAAUAUUUUAAGGGAUAAGCUUUAAAUUAAAUUUUUAUAAUAUUUAAUAAAAAUCAAAUAAAAAUUUUAAAAUUUAUAUUUUUUAUAAAUUAUAAUUUUUUAUAAAUAAUUUUAUUUAAUUAAAAUUUAAUUUUAAUUUAAAUUUUUAUAAAAAAAUAAUUUUUAAUAAAAAUUAAUUAGUUAUAAUGAUAAAAUUAGUAUAUUUUUAAAAAAAAAUUAAUAAUUAAAUAAAUUAAAAAAAAGGAAUUCGGCAAAUAUUUAUAUUCACUUGUUUAUCAAAAACAUGUCUUUUUGAGAAUAAUAUAAAGUCUAAUCUGCCCACUGAAUUAUUUUAAAGGGCUGCAGUAUAUUGACUGUACAAAGGUAGCAUAAUCAAUAGUCUUUUAAUUGAAGACUUGUAUGAAUGAUUUGAUGAAAUAUAAACUGUCUCUUUUUUAAAAAUAAAAUUUAAUUUUUUAGUUAAAAAGCUAAAAUAAUUAUAAAAGACGAGAAGACCCUAUAGAGUUUUAUAAUUAUUAAUUAUUUAUUAUUUAUAUAAAAAUUUAAAAUUAAAAUUAAAUAAUUAUUUUGUUGGGGUGAUAGAAAAAUUAAUUUAACUUUUUUUAAAAAUUUAACAUUAAUUUAUGAAAUUUUGAUCCAUAAUUUAUGAUUAAAAGAUUAAAUUACCUUAGGGAUAACAGCGUAAUUUUUUUUUUUAGUACAAAUAAGAAAAAGAGUUUGCGACCUCGAUGUUGGAUUAAGAUAAAAUUUAAAUGCAAAAGUUUAAAAUUUUGAUCUGUUCGAUCAUUAAAAUCUUACAUGAUCUGAGUUCAAACCGGUGUGAGCCAGGUUGGUUUCUAUCUUUAUAAAAUUUUAAUAAUUUAGUACGUAUAGGAUCAUUAUUUUAAAUAAUUUAAUUGUAUGAAUAUUAUUAAUAUGUUUU